rnacentral:rRNA from 1 species
UACGUAGGGGGCAAGCGUUGUCCGGAAUCAUUGGGCGUAAAGAGCGUGUAGGCGGUUCGGUAAGUCGGCUGUGAAAGUCCAGGGCUCAACCCUGGGAUGCCGGUCGAUACUGCCGGACUAGAGUUCGGAAGAGGCGAGUGGAAUUCCCGGUGUAGCGGUGAAAUGCGCAGAUAUCCGGAGGAACACCAGUGGCGAAGGCGACACGCUGGGCCGUACCUGACGCUAAAGCGCGACAGCAUGGGGAGCAAACGGG